CCAAAAACAUAGCCCUUGAAAAAAUCAAAGGUGUGACCUGCCCAAUGAUUCUUAAAUUAAUAAAAAAUAAAAUUUUUAUAAAAGACUUAAAAGGACGCAGUAUCUUGACUGUGGUAAUGUAGCAUAAUCACUCGCCACUUAAUUGGUGGAUAGUAUGAAUGGUUGAACGAGUAUUACACUGUCUCAUAUAGAAAAUUCAUGAAAUUAGAAUAAUAGUAAAGAUACUAUUUUAAACUGUAAGACGAAAAGACCCUAUAGAGCUUAACUACAAUCUAUUUAACAAAAAUAAAAAUAAAAAUUUUUAAAAAAUAUGUAGAUUGGUAGUUUAGUUGGGGCGACUGUCUUCUAAAAAUAACGAAGACAAGCAAAGUUAAUAAUUAGACUUAUUGUAUAAUAAAUAAAUUUAACAAUUACAAAAGUAGGCUAUAAUGACCCAUUAAAGUUAAGUAAUAAAUUUAAUGAUUAAUUGAUAAAAGCUACCUUAGGGAUAACAGGAUAAUUUUGUUUUAGAGACCUUAUCGAAAACAAAGUUUGUCACCUCUAUGUUGAAUUAAGAUAUCCUAAUAAUGCAGAAGUUAUUAAAGGUAGGUCUGUUCGACCUUUAAAAUCUUACAUGAUUUGA
rnacentral:rRNA from 1 species